GGAAUAUAAUCCAAAUUCAUGGCAAACCGCAGUGUAUAGAUGCUUAAAUACUGAUCUAUGGUUUUGGAAUACUUUUAUUCCUGAAUUUUUGGAUAUUAACAAGUAAAUAAUAUUUACUAUAGAAAUCAUUCCUACUUAUACUUUGUGGUGAGAAUGGAAAAAAUUAUAUUGAGUAAAUUGAAGUUAAAGCAUUUGUUCUCUCUGAAUUUGCUUC
rnacentral:rRNA from 1 species